GGCUCCGUGGCGGGUGGUCCGCGUCUGCAUCUCGUGUAUAUAUAUACAAUAAUGGACAUUGUGCAGAAGAUGCCUGUUCGAAUCAGGCCGGAGCCU